rnacentral:rRNA from 1 species
UACGGAGGGUCCAAGCGUUAUCCGGAAUCAUUGGGUUUAAAGGGUCCGCAGGCGGUUGUGUAAGUCGGUGGUGAAAGCCCAUCGCUCAACGGUGGAACGGCCAUUGAUACUGCAAGACUUGAAUUAUUGGGAAGCAACUAGAAUAUGUAGUGUAGCGGUGAAAUGCGUAGAGAUUACAUGGAAUACCAAUUGCGAAGGCAGGUUGCUGCCAAUAUAUUGACGCUGAUGGACGAAAGCGUGGGGAGCGAACAGG